UGAAGCAGGAAAGGAAGGGCAGAUACAGACUGUCUAUGGUAUCUAUCUAUAGAUGGCAUGUACAGGGGGGAGGAAACAUCCACUGGUAUUCUGUUCCAGUGGUAAGGGCAACUGAUAUUAGGAUCUGCAGUAACAGAUAGUGGGGUAGGUCUUAGGGCAGAGUACUUAAUCUACUGUCGGGCAUGGCUUAUGGUUGAACAGGAGUAUUGUCUUCCCCCUUAUCUCCUUUGUUUCUCCUUUCAGGGUGUGUGGACCACCUGGGGAUCUCCAUUCCCACACACAGCAUCCUCUCCCACUGAGGCCAGACAUGGCAGUCCAUUAAGGGAACAGAUUCCAAAGAUAGGCAGCAGCUUUAUGGCCAGUCAGUGCUACAGUUAUUGGAGGACCCUCAUGAAGACUGAGCUGCAUAUCUGCUACAUACAUGUCAGGGGCCUUAGUCCAGCCUGUGUAUCCUAUUUGGAUGCAGUGACUUAUGAUGCUGUGCAUGUGAACUUUACUGGGGAAGAGUAGAAUUUGCUGGAUCCUUCCUAGAAGAGUCUCUACAAAGAUGUGAUGCAGGAAACCUACUUGGACCUCACUGUUAUAGGCCACACUUGGGAAGACUAUCAUAUUGAAGGACAUUGUCAAAGUUCCAGAAGACAUGAAAGGCAAUCUUCAUGUGCAAGCUGAUACACAUAGGCCUCUGAGGAAAUUUUAAUAUGUUCUGGAAGCUCUAAAGAAAAGCAAGAGUGCCGGGCAGUGGUGGAGGACACCUUUAAUCCCAGCACUUGGGAGGAAGAAGCAGGCAGAUUUCUGAGUUCAAGACCAGCCUGGUCUACAGAGUGAGUUCCAGGACAGCCAGUCUCAAAAAAAAAAAAAAAAAAAAAAAAAGAAA